rnacentral:rRNA from 1 species
CACGUAGGUGGCAAAGCAAGUCGGAUGUGAAAGCCCCGGGCUUAACCUGGGAAUUGCAUUCGAAACUGCUUAGCUAGAGUUCGGGAGAGGGAAGUGGAAUUCCAGGUGUAGCGGUGAAAUGCGUAGAUAUCUGGAGGAACAUCAGUGGCGAAGGCGACUUCCUGGCCCAGAACUGACACUGAGGUGCGAAAGCGUGGGAGCAAACA